UUUAUACACUAUGGAGAAUAUCUGACAAAUCUCACGGUGACUUUAAAAGGGCUUUUGGAGUCCCCUACUCAUACACCUUCUCAUACAUGAGACUACACUGCUUGAAAACCACAAUGGGCUCCAUAAACACUUUUGCAAUAGUGAAGAAGAAGAAAAAAUAAUGCCACACAUGAAUGCUCCUGAGAUGCCUCUGCCUAUUCUGGUGUGAUUGAAUUCUGUCCCCAGCAAAGGGAGGAAUGGGGUGAAUGUUGCUAUGUUUCUCUUUGCCUCCAUGGAAAGAAGUAUUUGGAGUAACCAGCAUCAUGGAGACAACAGCCUUACUCCCCAAGAAACCAGAGUUGGGGGAGAAGAGGGAUCUGCCUUCUCUGUGAAAGGCCCGGAGGCACUGAAAAGGAGCAGUUUCGGAAGAAUGCUGGCCUUGGAAUUAUCUACCCACCUAUCUAUCCAUCUGAUCAUCCAUCCAUCCAUCCAUCCUUUUAUCCAAUCUCCUAUCUGUCCAUCUGUCCAGCUAGCCAACCCUCAUUCACCAAAUAUUUAUUGAGCAUUUGCUAUGCACACUCACUAGGGAUAAAGUGGUAAACAAAAUGGACAUCAGAUCAAUUCAGGCUGGUGUCCUAGCUCAGCCAUUUAACUGUCACCUUGGGAAACUUGCUUGCUGUCUUUGAGCUGCUUUCUUUAUCUGCACAUUAGGGAUUCUAAUCUCUACAGUGAAAAAGGUUACAAUAAAUAUUGUCCAUAUAUGGACAUAACUUAGCACAGUAGCAAGACCACAGUAGGUGCACCACAAACAGUAGUUUUGGCAGUUCUCUAUCUCCCCCAAAGACCCCUGCCUACCACCCUUCUGCUGCAUAGGACAGCAUUUCUGCAUGAUCUUCAUACAAGGCAGCAACAAGGACCUGUGGGACGACGUUUGUCUGGGAGUGGAGAUGAGGCCCAAUGAGAGUCGGUGGCGUGUCUGAGGCUUACCGGUCCUUGAAGAGCAGGAGCUCCUUCCCCAGCAUUGUCACAGCGUCAAAGGAUGAGCUGGAGUCACAGAGGUCAGGGAUGGAUGGCUUGUGAUGGGGGGCAUGGGGCAGAGUGGGCUUCCCCAGGAAUACUUUCCGAGGUCCUAGGAUUCAAAAUGAGUUGGUCAAAAUGGUAACGGGAAUUUGGAGUUCACACACUUCUGCUCUAGAGCCCCAGGGGAGGUUGUACACUUUCACGCUGGACAUGUGAUCAUGAUCAUGGCUGUUGAGGGCAGGUAUGGGUUUGAGUCCCGGCUCUCCUGGUUGCUGAGCUGUGUGAUUUGAGGCACAUUAUUCAACUUUGCAAGCCUCAGCUUCCUCACUUGUUAAAAGGGAGGGAUAAUAAUAGUACUCACCUCAGAAGGCUGUUGUGAGAAUUAAAUAAUUCCUGUAAAGCAGGUAGCAGAGUGCUUGGCACAUAGCAUCCAGGAAAAACUGAGCGAGUUCUUGUGAAACUGAAGUACACUGAAGGUGUUUGCUAUUUAAAGGUAUCUUCUGGUGGAUCGUCUUGGAAAACAUGGACCCAAAUCUUGCGAGAGCUAUCAGUGAGUCUCCUCUCCUGCUCUGCAUCUCUCAGGACUGUGUCCCAGCUCCAGAAGAAUGAGCCUGCACAGCUUGGACUGUCACCUCUGGCAGGUUCCUGCUCUUUGAUGAAGCCUCGUCAUAAUUACAGGUGUUUGAAAGUUCCUCCAUUGAUCUUCUCUCUCCUGCUGCCUUGUCAAGAAGGUGCCUGCUUCCCCUUUGCCUUGCACCAUGAUUCUAAGUUUCCUGAGGCCUCCCCAGCCAUGUAAAACUAGCCUUAUCUUCAACAGCUGCUAAAAUUGAAGAACAAAAAGAAUCUUUGAAACUUCCCUUCAACUGGUCAUCCUCUUCCCUUUUUCUCUCCUUUAAACACUGUUCCAAUUCAUUAUGAUGGCCCCAAAGCAAAGACAGACAUGGAAGUGAACAUUGGAGUGGAAGGAAUGACGGGGAGCAAAGGUCUGCUUUCUUUCUAUCAUUCUUGUAUCAACUCUAAAUUGAAACCCAAAUCACUGAAAUCUAAAAAAUCACAUGAAAGCAAGUCAAUGACUAAAAGAAAAUGAAAUGAGAGAUCCUAUCAGAGAAAUAUGAAAGGGAAAAUACCACUGAUUAAAUAAGUUAUGGGAAAAAUAAAUCAUUACACCAUUAAAUGUAUACGUCGACAUACUGUAUGUUGUUAUGUGCUUAUUGUCUUUCACCAGUAGAAUGUAAGUCCCAUAAGGGUAAGGACUUUAUAUAUUCUUUUCACAGCAGUGUCUCUAGUGCAUGGAACAGUUCCUAGCACAAAAUAAACAGUUGUUGAAUAAGUGAAUGUAUGAAUGAGUGAUUAAUUAAUGAUUAAAGAUAGAAAGAAGAAAAACAAGAUUGUCCUUAGAGGGAUAAAUUUUAAGUCAACCCAUAUAAUGGAUCAAAUGAAGAUGUGUAGCAUCACCCUAAGAAACCAGAACCUUUAUUAAACCCACAUUAUAUGCCAGACAUGUAGCCAAGUACCUUAUGUACAUUUUUCACACAACUUUGUGACACGCUGUUUUUCAAGUGAAGAAAUGGGCUCAUGGAGGAUAAAUGAUUUGUUAACUUCAUAUAGAUAUUAAGGCGACGGCUCCAGGAUUUUCACACAGCUCUGUUAGACAUUGAAGCCUGUGUUCUUAACAG
rnacentral:lncRNA from 1 species